ACAGAGGGGGCAAGCGUUGUUCGGAAUUACAGGGCGUAAAGGGCGCGUAGGCGGCCUUCUAAGUCGAACGUGAAAUCCCCGGGCUCAACCCGGGAACUGCGUCCGAUACUGGAUGGCUUGAAUCCGGGAGAGGGAUGCAGAAUUCCAGGUGUAGCGGUGAAAUGCGUAGAUAUCUGGAGGAAUACCGGUGGCGACGGCGGCAUCCUGGACCGGCAUUGACGCUGAGUGAGCGAAAGCUAGGGGAGCAAACGGG
rnacentral:rRNA from 1 species